GAAAGACUCCCCAGUAGACUGGUAAUUGCUCUAGAUCGUUCUCCCCAUUUUGUUUCUCAUGCUUUCCUAUUUUAAAAUGUAAUUUCUAUAUUCCUGCUUUGCUAGGAGGUUGGAGAUGGGAGGGAGAUAAUAUAUUGAUCUGUUGAGAGAAGUUUUGUAUUUCGACCAGUGAUCCUGAACUUUGAGCUAGAUAAACUAACUGAAUCAGAGUUUGGAUUAUCUCUCCUGGAAAGGGAACAAGUAUGUUCUAUUUGUGGAAAGAAAUUUGCAUCUAAAUAGUUGGGUAGCUGAGCAAAUAUUGUACCAGAGACUGCUAUCUGUCUACCAAAUUCCAUUCUGUCCUUCCUUUAUGGCAAAUACAGAUUAAGGUCUCCUGUGAGGUUUGUUUCCUGGAGGAGUCCAGAAAGAAGCUGUUCUCUGCUGAACCAUGGGUCAAGGAAAAUGUUGACAGAACUAUCAACUCUCAAUUUCCUAAACUUGGCAGGGUUCAAACUUCCAAGACAAAGCUGAUAGUGUCAAGGUUCCAGGCCUUCUGGCGGAAGCAGGCCUUGAAGCCUGCGUAUGCGUCACUGGAUUUAAUCCUUCUAGCAACACCGUGAAAUCUGUAUCCUUCUCUGUAUUCCUUAUGAGAAAUUUGAAGCUUGGAGAAAAUAAAUAAAGCUGAACAUUUUCUCUUCACCCAUUGUGGCUUUCUGUUUCCUUCUUUUAAAGAAAGUUCUUUAUGAAGCUAUGCAUUUAGCGUGAUCUUAUACAUUUUUAUCCAAUCUAGU
rnacentral:lncRNA from 1 species